rnacentral:lncRNA from 1 species
GAAUAAUGCCUCAAGUUAGGUAGGGCCUGGGCAGAAUCACCUGGACUCUUCUGACUUUCCUAUGCCUCUGCCUAAGGAAUCAAGACCAAUUUGAUACAGAAGCAAGGGACAGCCCAGUGACUUCUUCCUGAACACAUUUACUAGGCUCUUCAGGGAAGUAGUUAUGCAUUUGCCUUCCCAGAAGAAUGAUGGGUUGUUAUAGGCAGAAGAAAGAAGGAUAAUGUCUCACUUGCUGAAGUUUUGAAGCUUUUUGGUGUCACCACUAAGAUAAAAGUGAAAGGUGCUCUCCAGUUAGAUGGAAAAUUGAACUAACUCCUGGUGUCAUCUUGGGGCUUGAGAGCCUGGUUAUUCCCCCUGGAUUGCUGAAUUGUAAUCCUUCUUCCAAGGUCUCCACAACUCUACCCGGCAGUGUCAGCAAUGAUACUGUUAUGUAAAUCAAGUGACCUGCCUUGUAUUACAGUUUUCUCAACCACUGCUGUGAUGGAUAUCUCUCUCGGGACUUUUAUAAAAAUGCCAUCCCUUGAGCUUUUCCCAGAAUGCAAAUAAUUCAAGUACAAAGAAGGGGAGAGAAAUAAAUAAAAUCAAGCAGUGUGCAGCCCUUUCUUCUGAACCUUCAUACUGUCCUUAAAUUAAGGAAAAGGCAGCAUGCAAAUUGGAAUACAAAAAGGAUAUAAGAAACCCUCUAUUUACUACUGGGAAGAGUUCCCAAAGGCGUAAAUCAGUAGUCGGGAACUCCAAACACAGAAUGCCUAUGGAAACGAUGGAGGCUGGGCUCCAGGUUGGUCCUCAGAGGCCUUCUUAAUUCAUAACAGAGGCUCCAUAAAUUUGUUAAAUGAAUAAAUAAGCUCUCGCAGUGAGUCAGUACAUCAGACAAAACUACCUUGGGAUUCUAAUGGGAAAGCUGGUUUUGGAAUCAAAUAACACUACCAUUAACUUGUCUUGUGUGGGAGAAGCAGAAUAGCAUGUAGAUAAAGUUGUCCUCUAUUGAGUCCUGCCUGUCAAGUCUGAAAGAUAGUUCCCCUCCUACGUGCCUUGCCGGGCAACUCUUCCACACUUGAAAUCCUCUUUCCCAAACUCGCAGAUUUCUAAUACCUUGUUACUGUCCAAAGCUGCCUCUUGGGUACCUUGCCUUGGACUGUUCACCCUAUUAAUGGGAUCCAUGUUCAGAACUGCCUGCAUCAGCCUUUCUUCUCUCUGAUCAAUCAAAACUUCUGCUCUGUGGGUGUAAGGGGCCCCUUCACACUGCUAAAAGUGUGUGUAUGGACUUUAUAAGAUUCAAAUGGGGAGUGCAGAA